AAAGAAGAACGGCGCGAUCGGCACUCGAAGAGGAUUUCCUUGAAGAAGAAGGUGUACUAUAUGAAGCAGGAAUGGGCGAUUAAUGAUCACCCAGACGUGAGAUUUCAUGUACACCGUUUGGGCAC